CUGAGUACACAUUAAUCUGAGCUCCCUCAGCCCUAGGGGUAGGGGGAUUGGGGGCACAAGAUGGGUGGAGCCAGAUAGGGAAGAUUCCCCCAGUGUUGUCCUGCUCCCAGUCCAGGUUUGGGACAAUGCCGGCAGCGUUUCCCUGUGUCUUUCCCCCACAAAGUCUCCAAGUCUUUCCUCAAAUGAUCGUCAAGGUUUGGGAGAAACAAUCUCUUCCUCUGCCCGGGUUGCGUGGAUCUCCAGUGGAAAGGAAGAACCGGAACUAUGGUUUGUGCCUGCCUUAUUGCCUCCAAAAUAUUUUUAACUGCAGAGGUAUGAAAGAUGUUCUACAAAAUUUGUCUUAUGAUGAUUGAGUUUGCUAGUUCUGAAACAUCGCUGGUAGGACGUUAAGAUGAUUAUUUGAUUCAUGGUGCUUAGUAAAACUGUAAUUAGAGAAGCAGUUUUUAGAAAGUCUGUUUUUGA
rnacentral:lncRNA from 10 species